CCUCAUGCGCGGCCGCCAUGGCGCCGCGUGACGCAUAUGCACGCUUCCUCGUCCAGUGUCCGAUGCCACAGGGCCACUUCCAGUCCCACUGCUCCAGGCUUUGACCCAGGGACGCAGCCACUGUUGGCCCAGGAAUAUUUCCAGUGGUCCCAUGUUCCUGACUUUGGCUGUGGGUUGAACUGCUCAGCUGAAACUUCUGAGAAGUCACUGGCUGGAAUUUCAGAUUAUCUUGAGAACAGACCAGCAACAGAAGCUCCGUAGUGACUGGUGCCCUCCACCUGCAAGAUAAUGUCUCCACCAGCAAGAAAGCCAUCACCAGGUGUGGCCUCUCAAACCUGGACCACCGUCACAAGCCAGGGUCUGCAUUAUCAGGAAGUUGGAAUCAGGAGCUGGAGUUGGAAAUUGAACCUGGGCACUCCAAUAUCUAAAGACCUAAGGAUAUAUGUUACUGAUUGAUACUGGAAAUGCAGAUGGCGAUUUUGUUCUCUGAAAACUGAUGCCUGGCUUGUAAUGUGCAAUGGAACAGUUAUCUACUGCAUGGAGGAAAAGUAGAAAAAAUAACUAAAAAGCCAGAGAGAUGCAUUUUAUAUUGAAGAACUUGGGACAUUCAAUUUUUUUAAUUCACCAAAAACCGCUUGUCUGUACUUUCUUCAGAGUUUCUUCAGGUAAAAUUGAUAAAAUCUGGGUCGUUUGACAUUCUAAAAUGUAGAAAUUAAAGAAUUAGAAAUUUUAAUGGAAUGUGGGCACCUUAGACACCAUCAACCUUGUAAGGGUUAACAAAUAGUGUCAUGUUAUUUGAAAAAUUUCCCUGAAAAUAAACAUUUCAUUUUAAAUUUUCAAGACUAUAUUAAUACUAUAAUCCCUU